AUUCUUUCUACACAUGUUGAAGAAACUACUGCAAGUUAAAUUUGGAUAAAUAUCUCAGUAUCUGAUGCAUCCAGCAGACAGUGUAGAUUUGCACUGAAUCCUCCGUAAUUCUUCAGCCAGGACUCUUCUAGGAUAAAGACAUUAUCAGAGAAAACACAGCAUAUAAAAGUAACCACAAGGAGAUGGAACUGCUUGUCACGCGCAUUACGUUUCAAUGUAUUGACUCCAAUAGCUAGUGAUAACCCACAAAGAGUCUGUCCAUUUAUUCUGUACACCCCCUGCGAUGCCUGUUCUACUCCCGUACAUACAAUGGGGGUUCAAACCAAAAUAAUGGCUAGCAUAUCUUUGACACAAAUUGUUUUUGGGCCAUUAUAAUGUUUGUUUAAGUUUUUUUUGUUUGUUUGUUUUUGUUUUUGAGACAGAGUCUGGCUCUGUCGCCUAGGCUGAAGUACAAUGGCACAAUCUUGGCUCACUGCAACCUCUGCCUCCCAGGUUCAAGCAAUUCUCCUGCCUCGGCUUCCCGAGUGGCUGGGAUUACAGGUGCCUGCCACCACGCCCAGCUAAUUUUUUGUAUUUUUAGUAGAGACAGCUUUUGCCAUAUUGGCCAGGCUGGUCUUAAAUUCCUGACCUCAGGUGAUCCACCCAUCUUGGCCUCCCAAAGUGCUGUGUUUACAGGCGUGAGCCACUGGGCCCAGCCAGGUGAGUCUUUUGACUCAAUACAUUUCAUUGAAUUACUUACAAGCCUUCUAAAACUAUUUUGACACUGAAUAAGUAAAUAAGCAGUAACUUAAGCAAUAGGAAACAUCCUCAAAAUAUCCUAAAAAUUCAAUUUGGAAUGUAGUUUAAAAAUAAAGAGGCUGGGCACGGUGGCUCACGCCUGUAAUCCCAGCACUUUGGGAGGCGGAGGUGGGCAGAUUACCUGAGGUCAGGAGUUUGAGACCAGCUUGACCAACAUGGUGAAACCCCGUCUCCACUAAAAAUACAAAAAUUAGCCAGGUGUGGUGGCGUGCGCCUGUAAACCCAGCUAUUAGGGGGGCGGAGGCAGGAGAAUGGCUUGAACCCGGGAAGCAGAGGUUGCAGGGAGCUGAGAUUGUGCCACCACACUCCAGCCUGAGCAACAGAGCAGGACUCCAUCUCAAAAAAAAUAAAAUAAAAUAAAUUAAAUAAAUAAAUAAAUAAAUAAUAAACUAAUGGUGUUAUCUAUUCUGUACAGUUCUCUGGGGGCUGAUUACAAGUGCUGAAUGGCAGUAUUAAUCUCUGUUGUUUUUCACUUGAGUGAUCCUAUACAUUAAAGUCACAGUGUACAUUGUUUCUCUGCUUGAUUUCUCCUCAUCUCAAAAUGUAGGGUCAAAUGAAAGAGGCAGGUAGAUAUUUAGAGAAGAGCAUUUUAAUCUAAAUAUAACCAUCACGUACUAUUAGUAAAGAAAUUAAGAGGCCAGGCAUGGUGGCUCAUGCCUGUAAUCCCAGCACUUUGGGAGGCCAAGGCGGGUGGAUCAUGAGGUCAGGAGUUCAAGACCAGCCUGGACAACGUAGUGAAACCCCGUGUCUACUAAAAAUACAAAAAUUAGCCGGGCAGGGUGGCAUGCGCCUAUAAUCCUAGCUUCUUGGGAGGCUGAGGCAGGAGAAUCGGUUGAACUGGGGCGGUAGAGGUCACAGUGAGCCAAGAUUGCGCCACUGCACUUAAGUCAGGGUGACAGAGUGAGACUCCGUCUCAAAAAAAAAAAAAAGAAAAGAAAAAGAAAUUUAAGAAAUGGAUCCAUGGGAAAUAUAUACAUUUGUUGAAUUGAAAAUUAUUUUUCAACACUUGGCUUAUAUCUACUGUGUUGUUCACUUAAAAAGCAGGCAAAAUGAAGAUGAUGCUUUAAAAGGAGUUAUAGUUAGAAAUUUGGAACUACCAUACUGUUCCAGAAGACUUGAUUUAAUAUCUGGUCAUGAGUUGCACAAUUAAUAAAUUUUAGACCUCAUUCAAUAUAUUUUCAUGCCUGAUUUAUCCUUGUUUGAGAACUCAAUACAAGAUUCAUAGUAAUAUUUUAGCUUUCUAGACAGGAUAUUUAGUAGCCAGGCUCAGGGUGGCAUUGUAUUGGUAUGCCAGUUGGUAGGCCUUUUGACUAUACAUUGGCAGGAUAACUUGAAUGAUACCCUCUCCCAAACCUGUCCCACAUCCUCAUAUCUCUGGCAACUCUAUUGUAGAGUAGUUAGCCAGAGGUGAUUGCUUGUAGGGGAAUAUAAUGGUUAUUUUCUGGUUGUUCCAAAGGAAAGAAAAUAUUAUCUCCAUGUAUUAUUUAUUGCUAUAUAGCACAUUGCCCCAAAUUUAGCAGCUUAAAACAAAUAUUUAUUAUCUAACAAAGUUCCUGAAGAUCAGGAAUUUGGGUAUGAAUGGUUCCUAUGGUUCUGGCCCAGGGUGUCUUUAUCAGGUUGCAGUUAAGCUGUCAGCUGAGGUUGCCGUUAUCUCAGUGCUUGACUGGGACUGGAAAAUCUUUCCGGGGUCACUCACAUGGUUGUUGGCAGGCCUCAGUUUCUUGCUAACUGUUGAUUAGAUGCUUCAGUUUUUCACCCUGUGGGCCUUCCAUGAGGUUCACAAUAUGGCAGCUUCCACUAGAGUGUAAGAUCAGAGAGACAGAGAGUGGACACCCAAGAUGAGAGUCAUAGUCUUUUAUAACCUAAUUUCAGAAGUGACAUACCAUUACUGCAGCCAUGUGGUGAUCAUACAGACCAACCCUAAUCCCCUGAGAGAGGGGACUACACAGGGUGGAAAUAUGAAGAUGCAAAGAUCAUUGAGGACCAUCUUGGAGGCUGGCCACCAAACUCCUCGUGAUGGAUAUCAUCAUUGGUAGUUCUCUAGCUGGCUAUCUGUAAGUCUCCAAAGCUACACUUGAACUGUCUAGCAUUUAGAUUAGUACAGCUAGAGGAGCUAAGUUUGAAUUUUUAAAAAAUCGGCCAGGCGUGGUGGCUUAUGCCUGUAAUCCCAGCAUGCUGGGAGGCCGAGGCGGGCGGAUCACGAGGUCAAGAGAUGGAGACCAUCCUGGCCAACAUGGUAAAACCCCAUCUCUACUAAAAAUACAAACAUUAUCUGGGCAUGGCGGUGUGCCUGUAGUCCUAGCUACUCAGGAGGCUGAGGCAGGAAAUCACUUGAACCCGGGAGGCAGAGAAUGCAGUGAGCUGAGAUGGCGCCACUGCACUCCAGCCUGGUGAUAGAGUGAGACUCCGUCUCGGAAAAAAGAAAAAAAAUUCUGGGUAUUAUUCUUACUAGAUAUGUGUCAGAUUAUCAGAUCACUUGGUGUUAGGCCUGGUAUGUACAACUGAGUUACUAAAAGAUUUCAUCAAGUAGGUAGCAGAUAUUUAGGAAGAGUACUUAAAGAAAAUGACUUGUUUUUAAAUUUUCCUUCUUUAUAGGUCCAGGUUUAGUUCACUACAGAGGAUAAUUUUGUUUGCUUUGCAAGACAGCCAGACUAGAGGUUAAAUGUUUUUUUUGACAGUAUGUGGUUACAAAUCAGUCUUGCCAGUCCUAUGUUAAUUCGUUAUUUCCACUGUCUCCAGACUCUGGUGAUAGUGAUACAAAUUAAGAUAAUCACAUGAAUAAAUUAGUGGCAAUAAUUUCUUUGAGUCUUUUUCUUGGCCUUUAAGUUGGUCACUUUGCAUUACUUGUAUAAAUUUCUAAUGUAAACAGAGAGCAAAUUGUGUGUGUGUGUAUGCACAUGAGUGAAAUCUAUAAUGAAAUCACAGUUUAGAGAAGGAAUUAUACGUUUAAAGUCUUCAAUUUUAUGAAAACAAUGAUUCCACAUUUCUUCAAGUGGCUGCCAUAGAAUGGAAAUUGAAAUCCCUGGGUGGGAAGUGUGCUAGAAAUCAUAGUAUUCCUUUUCAAAGUAUUUUGCAUCCCCUUAUACAUAUAUUCAGUACUUCAUUUCUAACCCCUACACACUAAAUCAUGCUGUGAUUCAUAAUACUCUGUUAUGUUUUAAAUUCAAAUAUUGUUUUUAAAGGGAAAUUGCUACUAAUGUUGGCUAAGCUGCACGUAAUAGUUUAGUAAAUGGUUGUAGGUUUGAUUCUUCUCAUGUCAAUCUAAAUGUGAACUAACAUUAUUCAAAAUCCUUUUAAGAUACUGAAUAAUUGUUUCAGUUAACUAAAUGCUUCAUCAAGUAAUAUCAAUUUAUGAAGUAUGGUUGGGUUUAGGGCAUUUAUUAUUUAAAGAAAAAAGCAAUAGGUACAUACCUACGUAACAAUGUUAAUGGAUAUGUUUUGGGUGCCAUGUGUUUGAAGAAAGAGGGAUUUUCAUAUCUUAACAGAACAAGUAUAGAUCAUUGAAAAAAUUUAAAAGUAAUGUAUGAUUUAGUUUACUCUUAUUUAAUUUGUUAAAAUAUCAGCUUUAAUGAGAUAUAAUUUACAGAAAUGCACCAAUUUUGAUGUACAUUUUAAUGAGUUUUGAAAGUUUUAUACAUUCAUGUAACCUAUGGAACAUUUCUAUCACCCCAGAAUGUUUUCUUCUGUUUUUCUUCCAGUCAAAUACUACUUCUCGGGUAAAAACUGAUCUACUCUCUGUCACUAUUGAUUAGAUUAAACUCUUCUCGUGUUUCAUAUAAAUGCAUUCUUAUAUGUUCUCUUUUUUUUCCCUAAUAUAUUUCACUUAGCAUGAUUUUUUUUUUUUUUUUUUUUUUUGAGAUGGAGUCUUGCUCUGUCGCCUAGGCUGGAGUGCAAUGGUGUGAUCUUGGCUCACUGCAACCUGUGCCUCCUGGGUUCAAGUGAUUCUCCCUGCCUCAGCCUCCUAAGUAGCUGUGAUUACAGGUGCCCACAACCACACCCGGCUAAUUUUUGUAUUUUUAGUAGGGACAGGGUUUCACUAUGUUGGCCAGGCUGGUCUCUAACUCCUAACCUCAGGUGAUCCACCCGCCUCAGCCUCCCAAAUUGUUGGUAUUACAGGUGUGAGCCACCGCACCUGGCCAGCAUGAUGUUUUUGAGAUUCAUCCAUAUUGUGGUGUGUAUCUGUUGUUCGUUUCUUUAUUUUUUUCACUUUUUUUAGAGACAGGGUCUCCCUCUGUUGCCCAGGCUGGAGUGUAGUGGCCUGAUCAUGGCUCACUGAAACCUGAAAAUCCUGGGCUUAAGUGAUCCUCCUACCUUAGCCUCCUGGGUUGCUGGGAUUACAGACAUGUAUCAUCAUGCCUGGCUUUGUUUCCUUUUUAUUCCCGAGUAGUAUUGCGUUGUAUAAAUAUGGCCACACUUUGGGAGGCUGAGGCGCGGAUCACGAGGUCAGGAGUUCAAGACCAGCCUGACCAACAUGGUGAAACCCUGUCACUACUAAAAAUACAAAAAAAAUUAGCUGGGCGUGGUAGUGCACACCUGUAAUCCCAGCUACUCAGGAGGCUGAGGCAGGAGAAUUGCUUGAAUCCGGGAGGCAGAGGUUGCAGUGAGGUGAGAUUGCACCACUGCACUCCAGCCUGGGUGAAAGAGGAAGACUCUGUCUCAAAAAAUAAAAAAUAAAAAUGAAAAAUAAAUAUGCCCACAAUUCAUUUAUGUAUUCAUCUAUUGAUAGACAUUCAGGUUGUUUCCGGUUUUGGGCUGUUUUGCAUAAAACUAGUGUGAACAUUCAUAUACAAGUUUUUGUGUGUGUGGACAUGUGUUUUUCUUUCUCUUGGGUAAAUACCUAGGAGUAGAAUUGUUAGAUUGUAUAAGUGUACAUUUAACUUUGUAAGAUAUUACCAAACUGUUUUCCCAAGUGGUUGUACUAUUUUACAUUGCCACUAAUAAUGUAUGAGAGUUCCAGUUGCUUCACAUUUUUGCUAAUGCUUGGUACUGUCAAUUAUCUUUAACCAUUCUGCUAGGUGUGUAGUGUAUCUCAUUGCGGUUCUAUGCAGAUUCCUGAUGACGAUGACGUUGAACAUCUUUUCAUGUGCUUAUUGGUCAUUCAUAUAUCUUCAUCUGUGAAGUGUAUGUCAAAUGUUUUGCCCAUUUUAAAAAUCAGAUUGUCUUAAUGAGUUGUAGGCCGGGCAUUGUGGCUCAUGCCUGUAAUCCCAGCACUUUGGGAAGCCGAGGCGGGUAGAUACCUGAGGUCAGGAAUUUGAGACCAGCCUGACCAACAUGGCGAAACCCCAUCUCUACCAAAAAUAUAAAAAGUAGUCGGGCAUGGUGGCACGUGCCUAUAAUCCCAAAUACUCUGGAGGCUGAGGCGGGAGAAUCGAUUGAACCUGGGAGGCAGAGGUUGCAGUGAGCCAAGAUCGCGCCAUUGCACUCUAGCCUGGGCGACAAGAGCGGAACUCUGUCUCAAAAAAAAAAAAAAAAAGAAUUGUAAGAGCUUAUUAUAUACUCUGAAGACAAGUCUUUUGUCAGGCAUGUACUAAGAGUAUUUCCUCCUUUGUGUAUCCUGUUUAAAAAAAUCUAUGAAUUUUUUUUUUUAUGUGUUCUUCUAGAAGUUUUAUAGUUCUGGCUUUUAUAUUUUUAGUCUAUGGUCCAUUUUGAGUUAAUAUAUACAUAUAACAUGAGGUAGAAGUUAAGGUUCUUUUGUUGUUGUUUUUGUUGUUGUUGUUUUUCACGUGGGUAUUUGGUUGUUUUGGUAUCAUUGAUUGAAAACACUGUCAUUUCUCCAUUAACUUACUGUUGCACAUCCUUUUUGAAAAUCAUUUACCCAAAUACGUGUUAGUCUUUUCUAGAGUCUGUAUUCUGUUUCAUUGAUCCAUCUUUUAUGCCAAUGGCACUACAUUGUCAUGAUUAUUAUAGCUUCAUAGUGAGUCUGGAAAUGGGAUAAUGUAAGUCCUCUGAAUUUGUUUUCGUUUUUUCAAAAUUGUUUUGUCCAUUCUAGGUUCUUGCAUUUCCAUACAAAUUUUAGGCUAAACUUAUCAAUGUCUGCUAAGAAGUCUACUACAAUUUUGAUUGGAUGGCACUAAAUUUGUAGCUGAAUUUGGGGAGAAUUGACAUUUUAACAAUAUUUGGUCAUCCAAUCUAUAAACCUGAUAUGGUUGUCUCUUUAUGUAGGUAUUCCUUAAUUUCUCUUAGUAAAGUUUUGUAUUUUUCAUUUUACAGGUCUUGCCUAUAUUUUGUUAAAUUUAUUCCUAAAUAUUGCAUUUUAAAAAUAAUAUUUUAAAUAAUCUUUUAAACAUUUUAAUUUCCUGGUUUUUGUUGCUAGAAAUCAGUUAUUGAAACAAGGAAAUAUAUUUCAAGCUAAAUUAUUAGAAAAAGCCCUUUUGAUUUAAAGUAUGUGCUAUUUAUGAGAUCUGAAGAAGCAGGCAAACUAAAACUACUUUUCCAGAUUCCGUCGCAGCUAAGGUGCUAAAUAUGAAUUAGGUUGUACCACUUAGAUGCACUUAGAUGAGAUUUGAAAUGUGGACCUAAGAUGAUGCCUUGGCCAGCUCUUUCUGCUGGAAAGCACAGUGAUGGACAUGUUGAAUGUUUCUACAAAAGCAUUCCAGUGUUUGGUCAUUAGCUUCAUGGGUGAAAGUGGAAGGUACGAUGGCAGCUUCCUGAUCCCUAAAUCUCAGGUAUGUAUUCUUGAACUCAGCAGUUCUAGUGGUGGCCUCCUAUUCCCCCAUCUGGAAGAGGAAAGAAGGCAGCAGUGAGCCAAAGGAUGUUCGCAGCUUCUAGAAGCUUGUAAUGGCAAGGAAAUAGAUUCUCCUCUAGGCCUCUAGAACAGAUAGUAAUUUGCAUACAUCUUGAUUUUAACCCAAUGUUGUUGUUAAAAGACAGUCUCGCUCUGUCACCCAGCCUGGAGUGCAGUGGCACAGUCAUCACCGUAACCCUGAACUUCUGGGCUCAAGUAAUCUUUCUGCCUUAAACUCCCAGGUAGCUAGGACACAGGCGCAUGCUAAAAAUGUUAUUUUUCCAAGAGGCAGAGGCUGAGGUAGGAGGAUCACUUGAGCCCAAGAAUUCAAAGCUAUUGUGCACAAUGAUCACACCUGUGAAUAGCCACUGCACUCUAGCCUGGGCAAUAUGGUGAGACCUCCCCUCUUUAAAAAAAUUUUUUUUUUCUUCUGUGGUUGCUAAUAUCUUUUUUAAAGUGCAAAGAGUCGUCUCACAGUCAUUAGACACAAUAGAUGAUGUAAUGCCAUUGUUUCUUUUUUUAGUAUUUAGAGCUUUUUGCCAUCUGAAAAAUACUCAUACAAGAUUGCUGAUCGCCCAAGUUUAGGUGAAUACUCAGGAGAGGAAAUUACACAAUUAUUUUAGAUAAUUAUAUGUAAAGAUUUAUUAAUUGUGUAAAUGUAAUGUGAGUUUAAUAAUAGGAUAUAGCUUAAAUCUCUGGCUUCUAUUUGAAAAAUUUCUAAGGAUCACAUCCAGGCAUAUGAAAUAAAAAGGUGACAUGUUAAUCUGUGUAUAAUUUGUAUAUUUCUGCAUAAUUAUAUGGUCAAGUCUCAGACUGUUUUCUAAUUAAUAUUUACUGUUGCUUUCAUAUUGUUUUUAUCUUUCUUUAAUCUUAGAAUCCAACCAAUACUUUUCUCUACAUUGCUAGAGGGGCAAUAUAUAUGUAGAGAUAAAUAAUAAAGUUGACUCUUGAACAAUGCAGGGGUUAGGAGUGCUGACUCCUCCCUAAUCAAAAAUUUGCAUAUAACUUUUGACUAUUAAUAAACCUACAGUUGACUUUUUUAUUGAUGAAAAUCCAUGUAUAUGUGGACCUGUGCAGUUCAAACAUGUGUUGUUCAAGAGUCAACUAUAUAUAUAUAUAUUUUUUUCUCUUCUUUUUGUGAAAACUGUCCAGGAGUCAACUGUGUAUAAAACCUGGGAGCAGUGAGGCACCUCCCAGACAAUAUCUGCAUUAUUACUAAACCCUAGAAGAUAGUGUGGAUAAUUUGGAGCUAAAAUAAUUUAAUUAUAUUUUUUAAAAUAUUUGUUGAUAGGUUUGUACCCAGGGCUUUCAUUCAAGAUAGAGUAUCAUUUAUUUCAUAGCCUAUAUUCCACUAGCAGAAGCUUACUUUUUUUUUUUCCCCCCUUGGGUAAUUUUUUUUAAUUGUCUAAGGGAUUAACUGUCACCUCAUUAUCUUUGUUAAUCACUUUCAGAGCUUUUCGCUAUUGUUCAUCACAGUAGUCAAGAGGAUCACAAAGAAAGUGCUAAAUCCUUAUUUACAAAGAAAAUUGAUUCUCAGCUUUGCUUAUAUCUGCUAUAUAUUUCCUUUGAAUAUUUGUUAGGGUAGCAAUGGUUAAAAUUAAAUAUUUAUUGAGAAGUGAUUUUUAAUGUUGUGGGAAAAUAUUUUAUGUCAGAAAAAUAUUGAAUUUCAAAACCAUGGAAAAUAGAAAAAAAUCAUUAAGAGACUUGACUAAUGUCUCCUCAGAAUGGUUUACAAUAUUCUGCUAUUCAUUUACUUUCUUCAUGAGCAGUGAUCUUGAAAGUUUUGAAGAAAGACUUUUGUCUUUUGUUAAAUACUUUGGAAUUUUUUUGGCAAUGUGAAGAAAUUUUAUUUACAUGUUUGAUAAGAACAUCCACAGACAUCUCUUUUAAAGAUAAAAAACUUCAAUAUGAAAAUUGAAGUUAUAAACUAAAGAUCCUCUCUCAGCUAAGAAUUCCUUUUUAGAAAUGUAUAAAUACAAUUAUCCUUUAAUAAAUAAACAUAUCUUCAAAUUUUCUCAGUAAUGUGUCACUGAAACACAUUAAAAGAUGACAUCGCUACUCACAAUAACAGUACAAAAUGAAGAAAAUAAUUGAAACAUAGAUCAAGGAUGUUAAAGAUGGGUGAAAAAAAUUAUCUUGCUUUUUAUAACUAAAGUUUGUUUAAUAUUCAUAACAGGCUUAUAGAAUUCUUAAUUGUUCCAGGUAAAAUACCUAAUUUUCUUUGUUUUGAAAGCAUUCUCUUUUUCUUACUAAAUCAAAAACAGAGAAAACUUAGGGUACACGAAUCAAUUAUGGUUUUUAGAACAACAAUGGAUAAGAAUGUUUUAAAGAUUUAGGAAUCUUUUAAUCUCUGUGACGUUUCAUCAUUUCCAUUCUGUGUCGAGUUUUUGGUUGCAAAGUAAUAGAAACUGAUGUUGAAUAACUUGAGUAGAAAUAAAUUCAUUGGAUAUCAA